rnacentral:rRNA from 1 species
GACGAAGGAUGCAAGCGUUAUCCGGAUUCAUUGGGCGUAAAGAGCGCGCAGGCGGCUUGGUAAGUCGGAUGUGAAAUCCCGAGGCUCAACCUCGGGUCUGCAUCCGAUACUGCCCGGCUAGAGGUAGGUAGGGGAGAUCGGAAUUCCUGGUGUAGCGGUGAAAUGCGCAGAUAUCAGGAGGAACACCGGUGGCGAAGGCGGAUCUCUGGGCCUUACCUGACGCUCAGGCGCGAAAGCUAGGGGAGCGAACUGG